CUAAUUUAAAAGUGGUCUUCCGCCUUCAAAGUCAUUAUUCGCCAGUCCUCCGCGAUUUAACGGCAUCAUAGCAGAAUGGCAGCCCAACACUCUGCCGAUUCAAACCAAUGGACCAAGGGACUGUUUGGUUGUUUCAGCGAUCUUGGUCUCUGUGUCUACACGUAUUUCUGUCCGUGUCUGGUCGCUGGUCGAAACGCCGAGGUAUUUGGGGAAAGCUGUGUGAUUUACGGGCUCGCUGUGUUCAUUCCCAUUCUGAAUUGCAUAUUUGGAGCUAAGACCCGUGAAAAUAUACGGGAGAAGUAUUCUAUCACGGGCACUAAGAACAGCGACUAUCUGAUACACUGUUUCUGCACGCUCUGUGCUUUGACACAAGAAUCGACGGAGUUGAAGGAACACGGCGAUGCCCCCAAACGAGACCUCAUAGACCGAGAUUAGGUUUCUGAGUGAAUGAUGGAGUAUCGAUAUAUUGGUCAACACGCACUUAACUAGAAGAUGAAAUCGUUAUCAUGGUGACUUUACUUGGGUAUGAAGAGCUGCUCGCAUACAACUUUCUGUGUGACACACUGGCACGAUACUGUAACGCUAUCCAUAUUUACACUUCGGACUCUUCGUAUAGUUACCAAUGACUACGACUACUAACUCUUUCUAUGUUCUUCAAUUUUACUCACUUAGUUUUAUACAUUUCAUUGACGAGAUUUAUUGUAACCAUCGAUCGAGGCGUAUAUUGCCGUAGAGAUGACGAUUUCAGUAUGCUACGUCACGAUUUCUGUAUGCUACGUCACGAUUUCAUUAUGCUACGUCACGAUUUCAGUUUGCUACGUCACGAUUUCAGUAUGCUACGUUAUUAAACACCGUGAUUGAAUGUAAUUACACAAAAUAUAAACUAU